AGGCAAGAUGAUCUCAUACACGCCCCUUCUCUGGCUGUUGGUUCUCUGGAUUCAGGACUCCUCUGGGCAAAUUGUGAUGACUCAGUCCCCGGAAUCUCUGGCAGUGCCAGUGGGAGGGAGAGUCUCUAUCAACUGCAAAGCCAGUACGAGCAUUAGCAAUAACUUACACUGGUACCAACAGAAACCUGGACAAGCUCCCAAGCUUCUUAUCUACUAUGCCAGCAACCUCCAGUCUGGGGUCCCAGCCCGGUUCAGCGGCAGUGGUUCUGGCACUGAUUUCACACUCACAAUCAGCAGUGUAGAAGCUGAUGAUGCUGGAGAUUAUUAUUGUCAGCAGAGUAACAACUACCCUCUCACAGUGAUACAGACCAGUACAAAAACCUCCCUGCUCUCUGCAGUGUGCAAUGCAGUUACUGCUUCCUCCAGAUACAACUGUCAAUUUUUCACAUUUUAUGAAGUGCGAAGGAAAAGCGUAGCGUUUUUCAUCUCUGAACAUACAGUCAAAAGGAGAAAGCUCAAAGAACUAAAUUGUUUGAAUAAUCAUACAGAUACUAGAAUUUACACACAGGCCUGA